AGGUACUUAGGUUAUAACACAAACCAGGAGCCUUCAAAGCCCCAAAAAGUGGCCUCCACUAGCACCUG
rnacentral:tRNA from 1 species